UCUCGAUAGGUGAAGAACUCUGGAAUGAGUCUUUGCCAAAAAGAUGCUAGAGUUAUGCUCUUUGGCAUCGCCCAAGGAUGAGGCCGCGACCGAUCAGGUUGUUGGUGAGGUAAUGGCUCACCAAGCCUUUUACCGGUGCGGGCCGUGAGAGCGGGAGCCCGGAGAUGGGCACUGAGACAAGGGCCCAGGCCCUACGGGGCGCAGCAGUCGCGAAAACUUUGCAAUACACGAAAGUGUGACAGGGCUAUCCCGAGUGCCAUCCGCUGAGGAAGGCUUUUACCCAGUCUAGAACGCUGGGGGAAUAAGGAGAGGGCAAGUCUGGUGUCAGCCGCCGCGGUAAUACCAGCUCUCCGAGUGGUGUGGAUGUUUAUUGGGCCUAAAGCAUCCGUAGCUGGCUAAGUUAGUCCCUUGUUAAAUCCACCGAAUUAAUCGUUGGAUUGCGGGGGAUACUGCUUGGCUAGGGGACGAGAGAGGCAGACGGUAUUUCCGGGGUAGGGGUGAAAUCCUAUAAUCCCGGGAAGACCACCAGUGGCGAAGGCUGUCUGCUAGAACGCGCCCGACGGUGAGGGAUGAAAGCUGGGGGAGCGAACCGGAUUAGAUACCCGGGUAGUCCCAGCUGUAAACGAUGCAGGCUAGGUGUUUGGACGGCCACGUGCCGUUCUAGUGCCGCAGGGAAGCUGUUAAGCCUGCCGCC
rnacentral:rRNA from 1 species